GGGUCAGUAGGUUGGUCGUGCCACCGGUACGUACUGGUCUCACUGAUUCCUCCUUCCUGAAGAACCGUAAUGCCAUUAAUUUGGUGUUGCAGGGAAACAGGACUGUUACUUUGAAAAAAUUAGAGUGUUUAAAGCAAGCUAACGCUUGAAUACAUUAGCAUGGAAUAAUGAAAUAGGACGAUCGACCCUAUUUUGUUGGUUUCUAGGAUUGACGUA
rnacentral:rRNA from 1 species